UGAUAAUGUAGUACAAAAAAAAGC
rnacentral:piRNA from 1 species